rnacentral:rRNA from 1 species
GACGAACGCUGGCGGCGUGCCUAACACAUGCAAGUCGAGCGAACAGACGAGGAGCUUGCGCCUCUGUCGUUAGCGGCGGACGGGUGAGUAACACGUGGAUAAUCUCCCUAUAAGACUGGGAUAACUUCGGGAAACCGGCGCUAAUACCGGAUAAUAUAUUGAACCGCAUGGUUCAAUAGUGAAUGACGGUUUUGCUGUCUCAUAUCGAUGGAUCCACGCCGCAUUAGCUAGUUGGGAAGGGAACGGCUUACCAAGGCAACGAUGGGUAGCCGACCUGAGAGGGUGAUCGGCCACCCGGGAAGUGAGACACGUUCCAGACUCCUGCGGGAGGCAGCAGAAGGGAAUCUUACGCAAUGGAGGAAAGCCUGACGGAGGAACACGGCGGGAGUGAUGAAGGUCUCCGGAUCGUAAAGCUCUGUUAUUAGGGGAGAACAAAUGUUUUAUUAACUGUGCAGGUAUUGACGGUACCUAAUCAAGAAGCCCCGGCUAACUACGUG